CUCCCUUCUCUCAUCUCAUCUCUCUCGUUUAACAAAACAACAGCACCCAACCAUCUCAAUCUCUCUAAACUUCCUCAUAAAACUCACAUGUAUGUAGUGUUUUAAAUUCCUCAAGCUCCAAUCUCACUAGUGGAAGUGGAAUUGAAGGCCAAAGCUCAAGAGGGAGCUGAAGCUCUCAUUUCAGAUCUGUAACCAAGUUUCAAGGCUAGGAUUAAGCUCCAUUUAUCAGUUAGAGUACUAUGUUUGGAGCUCCAAGAGGACGCGGACGCGGAAGGCCGAGGCGUAAUGUGGCGGAAGAAGAGACUUAUGAAUAUGAGGGAGAAGCGAAUGCUAAUAUGUGGGCACACAUGAUGCAUCAACACCAGCAGUUCCAAGCCCAGCAAGCCCAACAACAUCAGGAGAUGAUGAUGAUGUUCCAGCAGCAAAUGAAUAAUGCACAAAAUCAAAACAUGGGAAGUGCAGCUUUCAGAGAGUUUUGUCGCAUGAAUCCACCUGAGUUCAUUGGAGAGUAUGUUCCCGCCACUGCAAGAGAAUGGAUUCAAAGAAUGAGUGGUAUCCUUGAAUCCAUGGAAUGCACAGAAGCCGAGAAAGUUACUUUCGCGACCAGAUUUUUUCGCGGAGCUGCUUGCAAUUGGUGGGAUGGCGCCCGAGCAUCCAUGUUGUCAAGCCAAACUGAAGUGAAUUGGGAAAAUUUCAGACGCCAAUUCAUAUCCCACUAUAUUCCCGAAAGCUAUCAAUUGCAAAUGGAGCGAGAAUUGACCGAGUUGAAACAAGGAAGCAUGUCAGUUGCUGAGUACACUACAAGGUUCAAUGAGUUAGUUCGUUAUGUGGCCGAUGGUAAUGAUGUGCCAACGGAGGCGUGGAAGAUGAAGAAGUAUCGCUUUGGAUUGCGGGCCGAUAUUGCACAUGAUGUGUUCAUGCAGCCAGUUACCAAUCUUGGUGAUUUAAUCCAGAAAAGUUAUCAUGCUGAGGCAAGUCUUAAUGAUAUUAGAAGGGAAAGGGGUGAGAUUGCCCAAAAGAAGAAGGAUUCUGAAAAGUAUAACAUGCAUCUGAAGCCAAAGAGUUCCCCAAGUAAGAAUAAACAGAAUUACUCUCCUCGAUCUCCAAGGAAGUGUCCAGAUUGUGGUAUUCCUCACAGCGGAGAAUGCAUGAAAGGAAAAGAUGUGUGCUUUUAUUGUAAGCAGCCGGGACAAUACAGGAGUGAUUGUCCUAAACUGCAAAAGCAAGGAGAUGCCAGCGGGACUACCAAGAGCAAAGGAAGGGUGUAUUCACUUGAUGGAAGUGGAAUUGAAGGCCAAAGCUCAAGAGGGAGCUGAAGCUCUCAUUUCAGAUCUGUAACCAAGUUUCAAGGCUAGGAUUAAGCUCCAUUUAUCAGAUAAACAGAAAUCACAUGGUAAGCAGGCUAUGGAGUAGCUGCUGCAGCUGGAUGAAUUAUGUUUAGAUGUUUUUUUGUACUUCUAUCAUGUAUUUUGAUCAUGGCAUGUACUGUAUAUGACUUUAUACUUAUGUUAUAACACCUAUGUGUGCCAUUUUAAUUAUGUCAGGAAUUGUAAACUUAAUGUACCAAGUAUUAAUUAUGUACAAACCUGUUAUAUUCUAGAUAUUUAACUUGGGAUGUUA